rnacentral:rRNA from 1 species
CCACCGAGAUCUACACUCUUUCCCUACACGACGCUCUUCCGAUCUUAAAGGCUUACCAAGGCGACAAUCAGUAGUUGGUCUGAGAGGAUGACCAGCCACAUUGGGACUGAGACACGGCCCAGACUUCUACGGAAGGCAGCAGUGAGGAAUUUUCCGCAAUGGGCGAAAGCCUGACGGAGCAAUGCCGCGUGAAGGAUGACGGCCUGCGGGUUGUAAACUUCUUUUCUUAGAGAAGAAACUGACGGUAUCUAAGGAAUAAGCAUCGGCUAACCCCGUGCCAGCAGCCGCGGUAAUACGGGGGAUGCAAGCGUUAUCCGGAAUGAUUGGGCGUAAAGCGUCUGCAGGUGGUUUAAAAAGUCUAGUGUCAAAGCCCAAGGCUUAACCUUGGAUCGGCAAUGGAAACUUUUAGACUAGAGUGCGGUUGAGGUAGAUGGAAUUACCGGUGUAACGGUGAAAUGUGCAGAUAUCGGUAAGAACACCAACGGCGAAAGCAAUCUACUGGGCCAAAACUGACACUGAGAGACGAAAGCUAGGGGAGCGAAUAGGAUUAGAUACCCUAGUAGUCCUAGCUGUAAACGAUGGAAACUAAGUAUUGAGCGUAAGAGCAGUACUGUAGCUAACGCGUUAAGUUUCCCGCCUGGGAAGUAUGCUCGCAAGAGUGAAACUCAAAGAAAUUGACGGGGGCCCGCACAAGCGGUGGAGCAUGUGGUUUAAUUCGAUGCAACGCGAAGAACCUUACCGGGGAUUGACAUUUUGCGCAUUUCUUGGAAACGAGAAAGUCCAAACGCAUAAACAGGUGGUGCAUGGCUGUCGUCAGCUCGUGUCGUGAGACGUAAGGUUAAGUCCUGUAACGAGCGCAACCCUUAUUGUUAGUUGCUUGAAAAAGGAAACUAGUGAGACUGCCAGUUAUAAGCUGGAGGAAGGUGAGGAUGACGUCAAGUCAGCAUGCCCCUUAAAUCCCGGGCUACACACGUGCUACAAUGGUUGGGACAAAAAGAAGCUAACUCGUGAGAGCACGCAAACCUUAAAAACCCAAUCUCAGUUCGGAUUGGAGGCUGCAACUCGCCUCCAUGAAGCCGGAAUCGCUAGUAAUCGCAGGUCAGCCAUACUGCGGUGAAUACGUUCCCGGGCCUUGUACACACCGCCCGUCACACCAUGG